AGUGAGCGCUGGCGGUAGGCCUAACACAUGCAAGUCGAACGGCAGCACAGGAGAGCUUGCUCUCUGGGUGGCGAGUGGCGGACGGGUGAGGAAUACAUCGGAAUCUACUCUGUCGUGGGGGAUAACGUAGGGAAACUUACGCUAAUACCGCAUACGACCUACGGGUGAAAGCAGGGGAUCUUCGGACCUUGCGCGAUUGAAUGAGCCGAUGUCGGAUUAGCUAGUUGGCGGGGUAAAGGCCCACCAAGGCGACGAUCCGUAGCUGGUCUGAGAGGAUGAUCAGCCACACUGGAGCUGAGACACGGUCCAGACUCCUACGGGAGGCAGCAGUGGGGAAUAUUGGACAAUGGGCGCAAGCCUGAUCCAGCCAUACCGCGUGGGUGAAGAAGGCCUUCGGGUUGUAAGGCCCUUUUGUUGGGAAAGAAAUCCAGCUGGCUAAUACCCGGUUGGGAUGACGGUACCCAAAGAAUAAGCACCGGCUAACUUCGUGCCAGCCGCCGCCGUAA
rnacentral:rRNA from 1 species